CCGACGUGGUCAGCGGCUUUUUGGUGACCCUCGCGCAGAACAGAGCGGGGCUAGGAGCGCCGAGGCGCGCAGGGAUCCCACCUCGGUCGCCCAAGCCUGGAUCCCAGCUCGAGGCUUCCUGAGGCGCCGAGGGCGGACCAAGAGUCAGGCUGGGGCCCGAGCUCGCCCGGCGCCGGGUGGAGCUUCCGCCAUCCGCGCGCCUCUGCCCCGGCCGAGCGCCCCGAGCCGCACCCCCGUGCCCGCCUCCCGCGCGCGUCCUCGUUCUCCGCCCUCCUCACUUGGAGGGCGCCCAGGGCGCAGGUGGGCGCGGGGUAGGGGAGCGAACCAGAGCCCCUCGGCCUGCGGGGCCGCAGCCUUUUACCCACGUUCCUGCUUCAGGACAGGCGCUGGGGGCCCAGCGCGCACGGGGAGCGGAGGGGCGGCGCGUCCGAGCUGAGCGGGAGUCGCCCGCAGGGUGCUGGGUGCUGAGCGUCGAACCCACCGGGCAGGGGCGGCCGCGGACCGAGGACGCUGGCUGGGUCUGAGGGCGGGAGGAGCUGGCGCUUUCUAAGAACCUCAAGGUGCCCAGCAGAGUGCGGUGGGCAGUGCGAGGCGACCAGGGCCAGGCUUGGACUGAGAUUCUGGGCGCCUCGGAAGAGCUGUGCGGGCGAGGGUCGGAGACUUUGUGGGUGUUCAUGCUCACCCUGGACGGUGGACCUGGGGGCUCGGGGGUGCAGGACGUUAGCAGAGAGAGGGAAGGAGAGGGUGCCAAGCCAGCCCUGAGAGAUGGUGACGCUGAGACCGGGUGCACAGAGCAGCCGCCGAGCCGGGGCUUCACAGUUGGCGGCUGACCCCAGGGCCUGUGCUGGAGGCCCUGCUCCUGCUUCCUGCGGGGGUGCCCUGGGCCCUGCUGUGCCUGCUUCCUGACCUGCAGUGUGGGGAGAACCUUCUUGAGGGGCUUCCAAGGACCCACUUCAAGGAGGGGCUGGUACCAGGCUCUGUGGGGGAAGGGGUGCUGUCUUUGGGACCCUGAGCCCAAGGCCCACCAUCACCCAAGGCUGAGUACCGGGACAAAGGAAGGUCCUAGCAGGGCUGGGACUCAGUCAGACAAGUACCUGUAGAAAGCCUGCUGCUGAGAGGGUGCUCAGCCAGGGCCGGGAGGCUGGAUGGCAGCCCUCCACAAUGAAGCCCUGCCCCCAUGUGGCUGAGGGCAGGGCCAGGGUCCAAAGGAGACCCUUGUCUGAUUCUGUGGGCAAUACCAGCCACCGGUCACUGGGUCCCCAGUCCCAGGUCAACCUGGGGAGUGUCAGUUUGGUGACAACAGGAGAUGCCAUCUGCCCCUCAUCUGCUCUGAGCCAGGAGCCUCGGCCACCUGUGUUUGCUCCUUAUUUGGAAAAGGGGGCGCUGCCCUCCCACCCCAGCCUGAAGGGAAGGUCCACAAGAUGCCAUAGUCCCUUGUAACUGCUCACCCAUCGGGGGAGCUAUGUCUGGGAGAGGGACGGGGAGAGGGCGGAAGAGUUCUGCUGGAGCCCCAUUGUUGACCGGGAGUUUCUGAAGGCCCUGUUCCCCGGGGUCAGAGGUCAAAGACACAUGGGGGAGCAAACCGGCCCCUUGGCUCCUGAGUGUGAGCUCUAGUAGCGUCUGGAAGGCAUGCCGCGCGGUCCCCGGUCCUCCUUGUAUGUGUGCAGGGUGGCCCUGGCGGGGGUCUCCUGGCUGGAGGACCCCCCAUGCAUUACCCCUGGAACCUGCCCCUUUGAGCACCCCCCACCCCACAACACACACGCACACACACAAACGCACGCACACGCACAUACUGCA
rnacentral:lncRNA from 10 species